CCUACGGGUGGCAGCAGUGAGGAAUAUUGGUCAAUGGCCGAGAGGCUGAACCAGCCAAGUCGCGUGAGGGAAGACGGCCCUACGGGUUGUAAACCUCUUUUGUCGGGGAGCAAAGCGAACCACGUGUGGUUCAUUGAGAGUACCCGAAGAAAAAGCAUCGGCUAACUCCGUGCCAGCAGCCGCGGUAAUACGGAGGAUGCGAGCGUUAUCCGGAUUUAUUGGGUUUAAAGGGUGCGCAGGCGGAAUGUCAAGUCAGCGGUAAAAUUUCGGGGCUCAACCCCGUCGUGCCGUUGAAACUGGGAGGCUUGAGUAUGUUUGAGGCAGGCGGAAUGCGUGGUGUAGCGGUGAAAUGCUUAGAUAUCACGCAGAACCCCGAUUGCGAAGGCAGCCUGCCAAGCCAUGACUGACGCUGAUGCACGAAAGCGUGGGGAUCAAACAGGAUUAGAUACCCCAGUAGUC
rnacentral:rRNA from 1 species